GGAACCCAUCUUCGCAACGAGGGAGCGACCGUCUGAUCGAUCUACAUGGUCUCCAUGUGAACGAAGCAAUCCAUAUACUUAAGGUCGAGCUCGGUACUCUUAAGAGCACCGCGAGGGCUACAGGUGAGAGGAUGCAAGUCAUGAUAUGUGUCGGGACAGGUCAUCACACCAAGGGUUCUCGCACCGCCAGGCUGCCCAUCGCCGUCGAGCAGUUUCUUCUGGAGGAAGGCCUCCACUACACGCAGGCACAACCUGGUUUGCUCCGUGUUGUGGUGUUCUAACA
rnacentral:misc_RNA from 1 species